AAAGUGUCCCUCUAAACAGCCUGCUUGUGCUGAACGUCCCUCCUCCAGUCCGACCUGAAGGGCUUUGUUUGGAGGGUGGAGCUCCUGUUUACCGAGAACUCACAGCUUCAGAAAUUAAACUCCCAUCAAAAGUCAGUGGUGCUGCUGCCGUACACAACGCUGAGCUUGAACGUGUUGAACGUCCAAAUUUCAAGAAAUCCGACAAUCCACCUCCAAUCAACACACCUGCCACACAGGAAGAGGAUCCAAUGAGCAGACGCACAGACUGUUAGAACUCUCAAGGCCGAAGUCUUCUGGAUCCACAAAGCAAAACACCCAAACUAAACGAACUGAAACAGACUUUAUCUACAUCGAGUUUCUCUAAAGUGAGAUUUGAGUCCCUGACUGAUGACGAAUCAACACUUCGGCAGAGUUAAGUUAGUGUGGCAGGUGAGUGUUUGUGGCAGACAGAAGGGAGGAGGGGGUCACACAGAGCCAGAAGCUGAAAACCGGAUCGGGCAGGACUGGACCUGAGGCACAAGGAAACCUGAAUUAAGUAAAGUUUGAGCCAAACGGGUUAGCAGCCCGAAGUGUUUUGGCAGGACGGGCGACUGAACGAUCUGAGGGUCUGAGUCAGUCCAGCUGAAGGAGGACAAGCAGAUGACCUGAUCAGACGCAGCUCCACAGGUGAGCAGGCAGGUAGAGUCAGGUAAACACACACACACAGUGAGGAGGUGAGCAUCCAUGUGUGGAGAAACAACAUUUUUCACCUCAGAUUCACAGUCUCUUUGUAUUUUUUAUGCUUCCUUCAGGAUGUCAAAACAUUUCACGGGCCGAUGAUCCCUUCAGUCGUUUUAGACUUUGGAUCUACAGAAACCUUUUUUUGCCAACAGAAAUGAAAAAUGAAAAGCUUGAAUCUUCAGAGUCAACAUCUUGAUUUAAUGGAUUUAGACUUGUAUCUCAUAAUUUAGGUCAUCUCCACUUUUCCUUCUGCUGCAGAAAUGGACUUCGAUAGCAGAAGAUACAGCAGGGUUUCAUUUUUCACCAAACUGUUGGCCAGGAUGAGGAGGAGGAAGAGGAGGAGGGAUGUUUUGGCAGUGAGCGUGAAGAAUCCAUUUUCCUCGGCCUGCUGCUGCUGCGGCGGCGGCGGUGGCGGUGUGAGCGACAGCGGCGGGGGGAGAUUAGGAGCUGAUAUCCUGCCUCCUCAUCCUGAUAACACACAGCAGGAUAAUGGCUGUGCUAUUUCUGCUGCCGCUGAGACGAUGACGGUUGUUAUCUGACUGCUGGAAGCUGCUGUUUAGAGCUCCAGGAGGCGACUUGGCAGAGCGAUCAGUCAGUAUCAGUGAUGGAUUUGUGGAGCUCCUGCUGGUUCGAGCCGGAGCAGCUGCACUCAGACCGUUAGACUGUUGAUACGCAGGAGCAUCUGUCACUUCUUUAAGUCAGAGUGAAAACAGAGGAAAGUUCAGAUACUUUUGUCUUUUGUAUAACAUGUUGAAUGCCUAUCAAAUCCAAACAGGCUCAGGUAGCAGCCUGGAGCUUUAGUGGCUCCUCCUGCGAUUCGUCACCUUCGGGAUGCUUUUUGUUGCAGUGGACGUGGCUGAGAGUGGCUGACUCUUGAGACUCAUGCAGAUGCUCAGUCUGGAAGCAGGACAAACAACAUCUAAGGAUAAAAAAGACACACACGAGGAUGUUGUUGCAGAGCUUUAUCCUUAAACCUGAAAUCGAAAUUUUUUCAUCCACUUGCGGGCAGCAGAACAGUCUGUAAACACCACAGCUGACACAGUAUCAGCUAAUGAAGUCAUCACACACGGGGUAGGACCCAAAUGCAGAAGCAGCUCAGUGAUUUUAAUAACCAAAUGAGAUACAAAGCCAAGGAUAGAAAGCAAGACAGUCAAAACGAGAGCAGCAGUACAGCAUGUGCAGCAAAUCCCGGAAGGAGCAGGAAUCCAAAGUGCGAUAAACAUGCAAAAGGUCCAACACAGGUGAGACACAAACAGCGAACCAAGACACAAAGCACAUGGAAAGACAGCAAUGAGGUGCAGGUGGCUGCAGGGCUGAUGACAAGUGGGAACAGGUGAGUGGUUGGGUGGGGUCGGUCAGCUGAUUGCAGGUCUGGGCGGUUGAAAGUAAGUUCACGGCCUGGGAAAAGUGAGCGAGCGAGGAGUCCUGGCAGCUGAGGCGUCUUACUUCCAACAGGAUCAUCCUGUUGAUCGUGUUUGUGUCCUCCUGCUGAACGUAGGCCCGGUAUUCACGCCUUUUAGCUCUGGUUUGGUCUCCGUCCAGGUUUUAUUUAACCUCCUCAGUCAGGGAAUAAAGUGAUCCCCAACAGAGACGUGGUUUACAGACAGUCAUGAGACAGAUGUCAGUGGUGCGAGUACGUCUUUUCAACCAACUGUAAACUUGUGGUUUGUGUUUCUGCCCCAUAAAACUCGGCUAAUACACCAGUUUGUCUGUUUUAACUAUCAUUUCUUAUUACUUAGCAUCUGUUCAACGCUAAGCACACCCUCACAGAGCCACUGACUGGUUGCAUCAGUUUUAAUCAGUACAUUAAUUGAAUCUGAGGGUACAAACAUGCGCACACAUCCUUUUUUCUUUAUGGCUGUUUUAAUGGUUGUUUCCCCUUCAUGCAGAUCGUCUGACGGCCAUUGGCUUCAUGUCAGUGACCACAGUCGGCUCUCAGCCUGUGAUGUAAUCAGCUGAAACGAGUCUGCAAAAACACCGGACGGCCCGGACUCAAUGGUCUGAAUCAUGUUUCAUGUUCAAAUGAACUCAGAUAUUUAGUGUGAUGACUCCAGAGAGAGGAGAGCAGUUAGAUGCGGAAGAUAAGUUUGAAGACCUUCAGAGUCUCUGCAGAGCGACGGAGAGACGUUAACAUGGACGAGUGUGGAGCAGCUUGCACAGACGCAGACACACUUUACUCUGAUUAGCCUGCAAAUGUCUCAGGCAGUGAAUCCCAGCCAGGGGUACUUCUGUCGUCUAAGGGUAUCUGGAAAGACUGAAGAGAAACCGAAACCAGUUUGUGUGACAAGUCUGUAGAUAACGAGGAAACAUCUAACUUUCAACCACUAAUCCAUAACUUUUAACAGCAACGACAAAUGGUUAAACAGAUAGCCAAAAAUCGUUAUUAAAUGGUUGAAAUUGUUGCCUCAAAGUCAUGGAUAAACUGCAGCAGUUAGCUCGCAAAAACUACAAAAUGGUGAGAAAGUACUGGAUUGGAAAAAGUAUUGGAGUACUGGAUAAAUGGUUGAACUGGGCGGCUCCUUCCAGCGAGUUCUCAGCCCGUGUCAGGAAAACGUCCAGAGGGAAGCGGACUGGAAAUGUCGUGAUGUUUGAAGCACACGGAUCCUUUUGCCAUGAAGGAGCAUCUACGUUCCAACCUUAAGUCUACCUGAGACGGCAGA